rnacentral:lncRNA from 1 species
UUUUUUUUUUUUGAAAUAGUAAUGGGAUCAGGCAUGAAGUUCUCCGUGUUUUUCAGAGCUGCUUGUCUGCACUUCGAUGGACCUCAAGCUGCAUCCCGUUGACGUUGCUUGGCACUUCGCCGCUGAAAUCGGCCGGCCCCGAGGGCAUGGAUCUCAUGCAGUUGAAGCGCUCGACGCGCUAGCGCUGGACAUGCCAUCAGCAGCUCUUCAUC